CCCUGCUGGCUCAGUAAGACAGGUACCUUCCCCAAGAACUCCUAUGGAACUAACAUUUCAGGAGGGUUUAGGCCCUGUGCCUGCCAUCACCCUAGAAAGGAAUUAGCAUCUGCUGGAUGGGCCAGGUCUAGACUAUUUGGCCACAAUGUCCUGGGACAGUGUCAAUCCUACCCGGAUUUCAUGGGAUGGCUUCUCACAGGAAAGAGAUCCCAUUGCCAGAAGAAGCUGAGAACAGAUGCCGAGCAGACAAAACAACAGAUGCCCACUACAUUUAUGGGUGAAAAGAAAAAGAUGUUUGCAGGGCAUCAUACACAGGCUAAGCCACCAUCGAGAGCCUCUUGCUCAUACACUCAGAGAUGAAACAUGUCCUCCUGCCCCUCCCUAUUGUAAAAAUUAAAUUUGAAAUUCAAGAGGAUCAUUUGUUUCCCAGGUUCAAAUGUGAGUUUGGGGCCUGGUGGGGGUAGCAGCAAUAGUACACACCAUUAAUCCCAGCACUCAGAAGGCAGAGGCAAGUGGAUCUCUGAGUUCAAGGCAAGCCUGAUCUACAGGGUAACUUCCAGGACAGCCAUGGCUACACAGAGAAACCCCUUCUCAAAAAAAAAAAAUCAAAA
rnacentral:lncRNA from 1 species